UCCCUACGGUAAACCGUUUCUGAAUACAAUUCAUUAAAGAGGACGUGAGGAACGAAUGAAGAACAAGAUUGUGAACGAAGAAGAGAAUUUGGGGUCGAAAGCAUGGUUUGUUGCCACAUGUGUUAACCUGAUCUAUACUUCAACUCAGGUUACAAGAAGUGUCUACUCAGUCCUUAGAAGGUGAAGACAAGCAAACCAAUCGUUGAUGCAAUGUAAUAUCUUCAUAUUAGUUUCUCAUCCUUUCCAGGAAAAUUUGACAGACAAUAUUGAAGUAAAUCCCCAACUCAUCCCCUAAGUUUAUGAGGGUCCUUAAUCUAUUUUCGCAGGUCAUAUUUGUCUCCUUAAUCUUGAAGGUGAGAGCAUGCAAGCUCAGAACAGAGUAACAAACUUGCUUUCCUUACAAGGAUUUCAGUUAUAGUGGUCAUUUUUGUUAUGACAGUGUUUUAACUUUUAAUGUUUAUCAUAUAGAUCAUACAUGCAUUGUCGUGCUUCAAAUAAACUUCAACUUUUAUCCCCAAUAUUAAUCACUUUGUCAACUUUUGGUUCCCUUAAUACUAUCAAAGGAGAUGCCAAAGGAAGGUACCCUUUUUGCCCUUUGUCUUCACUUCCUUAGUACUUUUCUGAUGGAUCUUUGUUAGUUUUGCUUGUUUCCACAGCAAAGGGAAUAUCCAUUCCUCUAGGGUUAAGUACAUAGUGAAAAGGGAAUAGCCAUAUUUUUGGGUGCCAGAAAUGAUUUGCAUAAUGUGAUUUCUAAUCAUCAAGAAGUUCAAUUAACUUCAAACAAAAGGUGUUGUGUUGUGAUGUGUCGUCCCUUCUUCAUAUUGGUAAGACAGAGGCUUUCUGCUCCUUCAUCUUUAUGUCUGGUCACAGCAUAAAAGAAGUCCCCUUUUAUGGAUUACUUUCAAGGUUAUUGUUCUCUAAAAUUAUCACUAGCAAUCUUUUUCUAUAUGUUUCAAAACAUUUUCAAUGCUUUUUUUAAGCAAAUUAUGCCAGGAGUGUUGAUUGGAAACAUCAGGAUAUAUAUGGGAGAACUUUCAUUCAAGAAGUGAUUGAGGCUAUGUCCUCCAUUAAUGAGGUAAUUUUUCUUCUACUCAUCAAUUUUCUUUGCAAUUUGGAAACAUAUUAUUCUUGCGCUUUCUAACCGGACAUCACAGUUCAGAGAAAUUCUUGGGUGGACACACCCCCAACACAUCACUCUUAAGCACAACCACUAAUAAAUUUACACCUCAUUUUAAUUAGAAUUUAUGAAAUCAGUUUUUAAAUUUAAUUUCCAAGUCAGAUCCACGUUUCUCUCCCUUCUCUCUCUUCUGUUUCCCGUUUCAUCUUCACCUUUCUUCUCUUUCACAAUAUCAUCUUCAUCUGGGCAGCACUUUCAGAUCUCCGUCCUCUCCACAGUCUAUCUGUCGUGCAUUUUAAGAUCUAAUUGCCCCACCAUCUCUUCCAUCUCCGACGUUGCAUCGCACGCCCGUCGCAUCUCCGUUCGCAGCAUGCCACUCGUAACCCACUGUAGAAUAGAUGUGUUAGGAUUUGUGGGAGUAAAAAAUGAAUGGUUGCAUCUCGAUGACAAAGUUGUUCUCACUCUCACUCUUCGCCUCCCUCUCUUCUCUUGCUGCAAAUCUGUUUUGGAUAGAACAGUCAGUGCUACUUUGUUUUUGUGUGUGUUCAAGACUGGUGCCUUCUAAGUGUUUGAUUUUUUUCCCAAACGAGAUUCUAUUAUGCCAAUGUGCUGUUUUUCUACCAUGAAACAUUUUUUCGUCAUAGGAUUUUUGUGUGCAUACAAGUCUUGGCAUCCAAAAACUAAACUUGUGGAAAAUGAUGACAACAUGCCAUAGUUUUUUAGGCUCUAUUAUGUCAUAGGAGGCUUCGGUUUCCGUAUGAUAAAUUGUAACAAGCUAGUAGUGGCAACAUGACUUGUGUUUCAAUAAACUACCUCCAUAAUUUUUGUU